rnacentral:rRNA from 1 species
AGAGUUUGAUCCUGGCUCAGAAUGAACGCUGGCGGCGUGCCUAACACAUGCAAGUCGGAUGUGCCGCAAGGUGCAUGGCAGACGGGUGAGUAACGCGCGGGGAAUCUACCUCUUUGUGGGGAAUAACGCUCCGAAAGGAGUGGUAAUACCGCAUGAGACCUUCGGCUGGGAUGCUGGAGGUGAAACCUGGGGACCGCAAGGCCUGGGGCAAGGAGAGGAUCCUGCGUCUGAUUAGCUAGUUGGCGGGGUAAUGGCCCACCAAGGCGACGAUCAGUAGCCGGCCUGAGAGGGUGAUCGGCCACACUGGAACUGAGACACGGUCCAGACUCCUACGGGAGGCAGCAGUGGGGAAUUUUGCGCAAUGGACGAGAGUCUGACGCAGCAACGCCGCGUGGGUGAUGAAGGUCUUCGGACUGUAAAACCCUGUCGUCAGGGACGAAGGUG